CUAUGCAAAAAGUUUUAUAAAUAGACUUCAUUUAGUACUUCAUGCAUGUGUUGAAAUAUUCGAUGUGAUGGUUUUUUUUGUGUUUACGGGGUUUAUGGGGUGGGAAAAUAGGGCCAUGUUAGCAAACUACUCUACUCCGUAGCUAUAUAGGAGUUUUGAGAGAGUUGGACGACCUCCCCUCCCCUCCCCUCCCCUCCCCUCCCCUGCCCUAUCAUCUACUGGCAUUAUCUAAACGACAGGUGCUAGCUAGUGUAGAAGAGUAGGGGGUACCCCACUAGCCCGCGGCGCCCUUCAUUCAAACGAGAUGCACUUGUGCGUAGUUUGCGGAAGUAGAUGCAUGCUUAAUAAAAUUCUUACAUUGCCCUUAAAACGUCCCGAUUGCUCAAUACUACCUCCGUCCCAUACUCCCAUAGUAUAGCUACUUUUAGAUUUUCUCCGAGUCAAAUCGUUUAAACUUUGACCUAGAUGGCAAAAACAAAAAAGACGGAUAACAUAAAAGUGAUAUCAAGUUAUUCAUAAUAAAGUCAACUACCACAACAUGUAACAUUUUCUAUUUGAAGAUAAUUAUUUUUGAAGAUAUUAUUGGUCUGUUGACUUUAACCAAAUUAAAAAGUUGUUAUAUUUUGGGGCGACGGUAGUUAUAUAUAUGUGUCAACACUAAUGCAAAUCUCAAAACUUGUCACAUGCACGUAAAUAAUUGGGGCUUUUGCGUUUAUACCCCUAUUUUAAGUGAUAAUGGUGAUUUUGCCCCUAUUUUUUUAACUUGGUGAUUUUGCCCCUGCUUUUUUAAACUGAAGAUUUAGUUUACCCCUAUUUUAUUAGAAAAAGCUAAUGGCGUCAAUUUAACUGCAAAAGAAAAACUUUAUGUCCAACCACAUUCAGCAAAUCUGUCUGCAUAAGCAUACUCGACCGCCCUAUGUGUGCUCACCGGCCGCUGCGAAUGCUAGUUUGCUGCCAUUGGCCACAGAAGCUGCUAGGGUUAGAAGGGAGGUGGAGGUGGUGCAAAGGAGCAGGAGAGUUUUAGAUAGUUACCUAGGGUUGGGAUGGUUGAAUAAGGGGUACUUACAUAUUUUUAUGAUUUUUUUUUUAAAAUUUAUUACCUUUUAAAUUCAUUUAACAGAGGUACACUUAAAAAACACUCAAAGUAGGGGCAAAUAGAAGCUUCAUUUUUGAAACGUGAGGGUAAAAUCACAAAGUUACAAAAAGAAGGGUAAAAACACAAUUGGCUUCCUCGGCAAGGGUAAAAACACCAAUUUCCCUAAAUAAUAAAUUCCCAUAUAUACAGGUAUAUAUGGUACUGAAAAAAAAUCAGUUCUUCAUUAUAACAUUCAAACUGAGAUGAGGCGUGGCAGAGAGUUAGUUGUUUACUCCUAUCAUCAUCGAAUAAUACAACCGACUCCUUAAUUUCUAGCCAACCACGCGCUAUUCGUUAUCUUCCGCCAACAA